AACGAACGCUGGCGGCGUGCUUAACACAUGCAAGUCGAACGGUAAGGCCCUUCGGGGUACACGAGUGGCGAACGGGUGAGUAACACGUGGGUGAUCUGCCCUGCACUUCGGGAUAAGCCUGGGAAACUGGGUCUAAUACCGGAUAGGACCACUGCCUGCAUGGGUGGUGGUGGAAAGCUUUUGCGGUGUGGGAUGGGCCCGCGGCCUAUCAGCUUGUUGGGGGGGUGAUGGCCUACCAAGGCGACGACGGGUAGCCGGCCUGAGAGGGUGACCGGCCACACUGGGACUGAGAUACGGCCCAGACUCCUACGGGAGGCAGCAGUGGGGAAUAUUGCACAAUGGGCGCAAGCCUGAUGCAGCGACGCCGCGUGAGGGAUGACGGCCUUCGGGUUGUAAACCUCCUUCAGCACCGACGAAGCGCAAGUGACGGUAGGUGCAGAAGAAGGACCGGCCAACUACGUGCCAGCCGCCGCGGUAA
rnacentral:rRNA from 1 species